UUUCGCUGUAAAGCCUUUUUGAAAUCGGACAGUGUGGUUAGAUAAAGGAGAAUCUUGUCUUUAAAAUGCUGUAAAAUAGUCAUAUGUUUGAAAAAUUGAAGUUUUUGUAUUUUUGAGGAAUUUGUAAUUCGCACCACGCCUAUCAUUAGAUAUUGGAGCAGGUGUUCCGCUAGCGGAACGUCUAGAUGUAAGAGGUUAUGUUACUGUUAAUUUGCACUAAGUAAAACAAAUAAAUUAGGGUUGUAGUUGUUCAUGAAUACUUUUCCACAUGGAUUUGGUUUCCUUUUGUUGGCAGUCAAUCUUUUUAAGGGUAGUGAUAAUCAGUUUAGUGUUUUGCUAAUUUGUCCCAAAACACUGUUAUUUAACUAUCUAAGACCCAGUUACCUUGCCGUGUUGUGCAUGCCAACCAGGUGAGAAUCACCAGAAUUAACUGUGAUACUUGGUGAAUCAGGUCUUCUCUGCUGCUUUAACAGCCUCCCCUUUGCCCACUCCAAGCUCCUCUUCAUGGUUCCCUUCUGCAUGACACAAUUGUGUGAAAAUAAAGCGGAAGGAAUGGGAACCGUAUUCCUUUGAAGCAGUAGUAUAUAGUACUGUGUAUAUGCCUAAAGUUGUUAUUUUACCCUAAUAGGCUCAGAUGGAAUGUAAAUAUUCCAAAAACAAAGUGAACGUGCACAUUAAAGUUUAAUCUGUUCGAAAGCUGAAAUGUUGUAGAUGUUAGCAAAGGUUUCACAAGGUUGUCACUGGCCAAAUUUGCUUUAUGUGAGCUUUUCAGUGUCUUCAUGCUAAUCGUGAGCUAGUGCAGCUAACGCUAGCAUUGAAAUGACAGCCAGUCAGGCUGAAGAAGUUGCCUACCUUCAGCUGUUGUUUUGCUAUUACAAGGCUAUGGGUUAAAAACGUAACUCGAUGUCCUGCUUCAGUACUAGCCGAAAAGUCACAUUUAGGGAGCUUUCUUCCUUUAGUCAAUAAUAAAGCAAAAUACAGACAACAUAGUCCAAAAAUCAACAACUACCAGGAUUUUGAGCAGGAUGUUUUUGGAGUACCUCCAUUGUCUAAUCUAUGUAUACCUGGCCCUGCAUUCAAGCAACAAUCUUGCUAGUAUGUAAUUUACCUUAAUAGUAUUAACAUAGUUCAAUAAUCACACCCUGAUCUGUUUCACCUGUCUUUGUGAUUGUCUCCACCCCCCUCCAGUUGUCGCCCAGCUUCCCCAUUAUCCCCUGUGUAUUUAUAACAGUGUUCUCUGUUUGUCUGUUGCCAGUUCGUUUUGUUUUGUCAAACCUUCCAGCGGUUUUCCCUCUGUUCCUAUCUCUCGAUUGUUCCUGUUGUCUAGUUUUCCCGGUGUUGACCAUUUCUGCCUGCCCUGACUGAGCCUGCCUGCCGUCCUGUACCUUUGCCCCUUUGUUCCAUAUCCAGUGUGCGCUCUGAACGCUUUGAGAGCGAAACUCUCUGAAUUUAAGAAUGGAUAUAUUGACAACGUGCUGAAUUUACGAACACCCAGAUUGCACUCUGAGUGGACUCUGGCAAUCCAGACUGAAUUUACGAACAUACCAAUGGUGGUGAGCUCGAUGUGUCAUGAGUUUGUGCUAAAAGCAUUGUGCUUAUUUAUACAUAUUGUACAUAGUUAAUGAGAAACUAGGUUGGAUGAGAGACAUGGAAAAAUGCAAAGAAAAAUGAAUAUUUAAAGAACAACAACCUGAGGUUCAAGGAGGACCUAUGGGUAUGUUCCAUAACCAGUAGAUGGUGGUACAGGCUUUCAAAGAGGUAACACACAGCCUAUAAAAAGCCAGGAGUCUGCUAGUGGGGUGGAGACUAGACUCUCUCAUCCAUGAUCCAACACAUGGCUCCUAUAGCUGAUGUGGCUUUCCUACAGGAGGACAUUUUUCUGUCAGCAUUACGGAAAAAAACAAAUGUCUCGGCUACUUCAGCAGAGGAACUUACAAUCAUCAAAGAAAUGAGAAGAGCAAAGUAUGUUAUGGAAGCUGUGUUGUGUGAUUCUACUCAUCAUCCAGAGGGAUACAGAAAGAUGCCGGUGGGCGGAGUUGGAAGGGUCGUCAGCUAAAUGGGAAGCACCUGGGCUCGGGUGUGUCCCAGGAUAAAGAGACCUCUUCCCUAGUCAUUGGGGAGACUCUCUCCAUGCAGACACCUUGUUGUUUUUGGAUGUGCUAGUUGUGGUAUCUAAUAAAUAUAUAUUUUUGAUACUCCUUGUCUCCCUUUUGUUGCGAACUCAGAGCCGGUUCGUAACAAGUGGGAGCUCGUCUGGGAUCUUGAACUUGUGUUUGGGAGAAAACAUGGAGGUAUGUUAAAUUCUGUAGGUGCUUUGUUUGCAUAUUUUGUUAGUUUGAGUUUGGUGCUCAGUACUGGUUGCCUUUGGUUUGUGUGCUGUGUUGGAGAGAGUACAUUGGUUGGUUUCCAGGCCCCUGCCCAGCCUGGAAACGCUUGUUCUACUUACUGUUGGGACAUUGGUCUGAGGAGGUGAGUGUAAUCAGCUGUGUACCUCAGUGGGAGAUUUGGAUAGGGUAGUAAACCUUACUACCCGGAGCUAUAGCUUUUUUCCCCUGAUCGGCUUAGCGACGUGUUUCAUUUUGGAAUAUGUUGGGCUUUGUUAAUGUUUGUUAUUUUUGUGUGGUGUCUGUGGACUAAGCAGUUGUCUCGGGGGCACAUCUGUGGCUUGGUGGAAUCUACCAGCGUGCUGGGGGGUUACUUCCUUGCCAGCGGGCAACAGUGCAUAAUUACCCACUGCAAAUCUGCAUGAAGACUAGGGUUGAGUUAUUGUAGGUUUUGGGGAAGCUCCAUUUCGCAUCUCUUUUCUGUGGUGCCCGGUGUGACUAUUUUCUCUUGUUGUGGGCUGGUGUGCUCAGCAUGAACCGUUGGAGUGGCUAUGAACCGUUGGAGUGGCUAUGAACCAUUGGGAGAUGUUGUUUGUAGCUGAUGCGGUCUCGUGUGCCCUGUUCCUGAGUGUUAUGUGACUGACCUUUGUCAUGUUCUAACUUUCCUGUCGGUUCCCUCCUGGUCUUGUGUUCUUCUUUCCUCUUAAAUGUUGCUUCCUGUGCGCAAAGGUUGCUGAGGUCUGGGGAGAAGGAUGUUGGCUGGGGCAAGUGGAAGGUGAACAUGUAACCCCUCAUCAUUUUGGGACGCAGAGGCUUGUGUCAAUUUGGGACGCAGACUGAAACGGGUUUCCCUCAAGAAUUUCCCUGUAUUUAGUGCUAUCCAUUAUUCCUUAAAGUUCUGACCAGUUUCCCAGUCCCUGCCAAUGAAAAACAUCCCUACAGGCUGAUACUGCCACCACCAUGCUUCAUUGUGGGGAUGGUAUUCUCGGGGUGAUGUGAGGUGUUGGGUUUGCGCCAGACAUAGCGUUUUCCUUGAUGGCCAAAAAGUUUCAUUUUAGUUUCAUCUGACCAGAGUAACUUUUUCUGUAUGUUUGGGGAGUCUCCCACAUGCCUUUUGGUGAACACCAAACGUGUUUUUUUUCUUUAAGUAAUGGAUUUUUUUCUGGCCACUUCUGUAAAGCCCAACUCUGUGGAGUGUACUGCUUUAAGUGGUCCUAUGGACAGAUACUCCAAUCUCCACAAAGCUCCACAUCUCCUUCAGAGUUAUCUUCUGUCUCUUUGUUGCCUCUCUGAUUAAUGCCCUCCUUGCCUGGUCUGUGCAUUUUGGUGGGCGGCCCUCUUUUGGCAGGUUUGUUGUGGUACCAUAUUCUUUCAAUUUUUUUAAUAAUGUAUUUAAUGGUGCUCCGUGGGAUGUUCAAAGUUUCUGAUAUUUUUUUAUAACCCAACCCUGAUCUGUUUUUCUCCACAACUUUGUCCCUGACCUGUUUGGAGAGCUUUUUGGUCUUCAUGGUGCUGCUUGCUUGGUGGUGCACCUUGCUUAUUGGUGUUGCAGACUCUGGGGCCUUUCAGAACAGGUGUGUGUAUAUAUACUGAGAUCAUGUGACAGAUCAUGUGAAACUUAGAUUGCACACGGGUGGACUUUAUUGAACGAAUUAUGUGACGCCUAAAGGUAAUUGGUUGCACCAGAUCUUAUUUAGGGGCUUCACAGCAAAGGGGGUGAAUACAUAUGCACGCACCACUUUUCCUUUACAUUUUUUAUUUAAAAAAUGUAAACAAGUUUUUUUUUUUUUUUUUUUUUUUCACUUCACCAAUUUGGACUAUUUUGUGUGUUCAUUACAUGAAAUCAAAAUAAAAAUCCAUUUAAAUUACAGGUUGUAACGCC